rnacentral:rRNA from 1 species
GACGAACGCUGGCGGCGUGCUUAACACAUGCAAGUCGAACGGUGAAGCGCCUUCCUUUUUGGUGGGUGUGGAUGAGUGGCGAACGGGUGAGUAACACGUGAGUAACCUGCCCCCUUCUUCUGGAUAACCGCAUGAAAGUGUGGCUAAUACGGGAUAUUCUGGGUCUGUCGCAUGAUGGGUCUGGGAAAGAUAUUGUUUCGGUGGGGGAUGGGCUCGCGGCCUAUCAGCUUGUUGGUGGGGUGAUGGCCUACCAAGGCGGUGACGGGUAGCCGGCCUGAGAGGGUGGACGGUCACACUGGGACUGAGACACGGCCCAGACUCCUACGGGAGGCAGCAGUGGGGAAUAUUGCACAAUGGGCGCAAGCCUGAUGCAGCGACGCCGCGUGAGGGAUGGAGGCCUUCGGGUUGUGAACCCCUUUCGCCAGUGAAGCAGGCCUGCCUCGUUUGUGGGUGGGUUGACGGUAGCUGGAUAAGAAGCGCCGGCUAACUACGUG